AUUGAACGCUGGCGGCAUGCUUUACACAUACAAGUCGAACGGUAACAUAAGAAAGCUUGCUUCCUUGAUGACGAGUGGCGAACGGGUGAGUAAUACAUCGGAACGUACCCUGUAGUGGGGGAUAACUACUCGAAAGAGUGGCUAAUACCGCAUACAACCUGAGGGUAAAAGUGGGGGACCGCAAGGCCUCACGCUAUAGGAGCGGCCGAUGGAAGAUUAGGUAGUUGGGGGGGUAAAGGCCUACCAAGCCGACGAUCUUUAGCGGGUCUGAGAGGACGAUCCGACACACUGGGACUGAGACACGGCCCAGACUCCUACGGGAGGCAGCAGUGGGGAAUUUUGGACAAUGGGCGAAAGCCUGAUCCAGCAAUGCCGCGUGAGUGAAGAAGGCCUUCGGGUUGUAAAGCUCUUUUGUUUGGGAAGAAAUCCUUAAGGCUGAUAUCCUUGGGUGAUGACGGUACCAAAAGAAUAAGCACCGGCUAACUACGUGCCAGCAGCCGCCGUAA
rnacentral:rRNA from 1 species